rnacentral:tRNA from 1 species
GGCUCCAUAGUUAAAUGGAUAUAACAGCCCCCUCCUAAGGGGCAGGUGCAGGUUCGAUUCCUGCUGGGGCCACCA